ACAGAGUGACCUCAGAGGACUGAGAUGGAUAAAGCCAACUAUGGUGACACAUGAAAGAUUAUACAUUUUGCAAGGGCAGAGACUGUUAGAUUUAUUUCCGAAGCCCUGGGAGCCAGGGCCUGAUGCAGUGCAGAUGCUCGGUGAACAUUUGUGGAGCAAAUGAACAAACUCACAGCACAGCUUUUGUACAGCUUUGCCACAAAGUACGUACAAACUCAUUUCUAUAAUAUGCUUCAAAAACUACAUGUUCUCCUGCAAUUGGGGAUUUUCUGGUUGUUCUUUUUUUUUUUUUUUUUUUUUUUUUUUUUUUUUUUUUCUUUCUUUCUUUCUGCUGGCUCACUUCUCAGAGCAGCUGGAGAAGGCUCUGUUUCCCUAGGGUCUAGAUCAUUUCCUAUAACACUGGGGCUUUUGCUACUGUGGGUCCAGGUUUUCUGGGAAAACUGUGUUUUGUUUUU
ensembl:antisense Gm44633 predicted gene 44633